UGUUUGUGUAGUGUGUGUAUAUAAUGCAGUGUGUUUGUAUAGUGUGUGUAUACAAUGCACACAAAUACACACUGCAUUAUAUACACACACUAUACAAAC